UAGAUACCCUGGUAGUCCAUGCCGUAACGUUGGCACAGUGUGGGACCUUCCACGGUUUCCGCGCCGCAGCUACGCUUAAGUGCCCCGCCUGGGGAGUACGGCCGCAAGGCUAAAACUCAAAGGAAUUGACGGGGGCCCGCACAAGCGGCGGAGCUGCGGAUUAAUUCGAUGCAACGCGAAGAACCUUACCAAGGCUUGACAUGUUCUCGAUCGCCGUAGAGAUACGGUUUCCCCUUUGGGGCGGGUUCACAGGUGGUGCAUGGUGUCGUCAGCUCGUGUCGUGAGAUGUUGGGUUAAGUCCCGCAACGAGCGCAACCCUCGUUCCAUGUUGCCAGCACGUAAUGGUGGGGACUCAUGGGAGACUGCCGGGGUCAACUCGGAGGAAGGUGAGGACGACGUCAAAUCAUCAUGCCCCUUAUGUCUUGGGCUUCACGCAUGCUACAAUGGCCGGUACAAUGGGUUGCGAUACUGUGAGGUGGAGCUAAUCCCAAAAAGCCGGUCUCAGUUCGGAUUGGGGUCUGCAACUCGACCCCAUGAAGUGGGAGUCGCUAGUAAUCGCAGAUCAGCAACGCUGCGGUGAAUACGUUCCCGGGCCUUGUACACACCGCCCGUCAAGUCACGAAAGUUGGUAACACCCGAAGCCGGUGGCCUAACCCUUGUGGGGGGAGCCGUCGAAGGGGGACCAGCGA
rnacentral:rRNA from 1 species